rnacentral:rRNA from 1 species
UGCCAGCCGCCGCGGUAAUAUGGAGGGUGCAAGCGUUAAUCGGAAUUACUGGGCGUAAAGCGCGCGUAGGUGGAUAAUUAAGUCAGAUGUGAAAUCCCAGGGCUCAACCCUGGAACUGCAUUUGAUACUGGUUAUCUUGAGUACAGUAGAGGGAGGUGGAAUUUCAGGUGUAGCGGUGAAAUGCGUAGAUAUCUGAAGGAACAUCAGUGGCGAAGGCGCCUAUCUGGCCAGAGACUGACACUGAGGUACGAAAGCGUGGGUAGCGAACAGGAUUAGAUA